AUUGAACGCUGGCGGCAUGCCUUACACAUGCAAGUCGAACGGCAGCACGGGAGCAAUCCUGGUGGCGAGUGGCGAACGGGUGAGUAAAGUAUCGGAACGUGCCCAGUCGUGGGGGAUAACGUAGCGAAAGUUACGCUAAUACCUCAUACGAUCUAUGGAUGAAAGCGGGGGAUCGCAAGACCUCGCGCGACUGGCGCGUCCGAUAUCAGAUUCGGUAGUUGGUGGGGUAAAGGCUCACCAAGCCGACGAUCUGUAGCGAUUCUGAGAGGCCGACCAGACACGCUGGGACUGAGACACGGCAAAGACUCCUACGGGAGGCAGCAGGGGGGAAUUUUGAACAAUGGGCGAAAGCCUGAUCCAGCCAUGCCGGGUGCAGGAUGAAGGCCUUCGGGUUGUAAUCUGCUUUUGUACGGAACGAAAAGAUUUGGCCUAAUAAGCUGAGCUCAUGACGGUACCGUAAGAAUAAGCACCGGCUAACUACGUGCCAGCCGCCGCCGUAA
rnacentral:rRNA from 1 species